rnacentral:rRNA from 1 species
CCUACGGGAGGCAGCAGUGGGGAAUAUUGCACAAUGGGGGGAACUCUGAUGCAGCGACGCCGCGUGGGUGAAGGAGUAUUUCGGUAUGUAAAGCCCUAUCAGCAGGGAAGAACAAUGACGGUACCUGACGAAGAAGCACCGGCUAAAUACGUCCCAGCAGCCGCGGUAAUACGUAGGGUGCAAGCGUUAUCCGGAUUUACUGGGUGUAAAGGGAGCGCAGGCGGCGCGUUAAGCCUGGGGUGAAAGCCCGCGGCGCAACCGCGGGACUGCCUUGGGAACUGGCGCGCUAGAGAGCCGGAGGGGUAGGCGGAAUGCCUGGUGUAGCGGUGAAAUGCGUAGAUAUUAGGAGGAACACCAGUGGCGAAGGCGGCCUACUAGACGGUGACUGACGCUGAGGCUCGAAAGCGUGGGGAGCAAACAGAAUUAGAUACCCGGGUAGUC